rnacentral:rRNA from 1 species
AGCGAACGCUGGCGGCAGGCCUAACACAUGCAAGUCGAACGGACCCUUCGGGGUUAGUGGCGGACGGGUGAGUAACACGUGGGAACGUGCCCUUUGGUUCGGAACAACUCAGGGAAACUUGAGCUAAUACCGAAUGUGCCCUUCGGGGGAAAGAUUUAUCGCCAUUGGAGCGGCCCGCGUCUGAUUAGCUAGUUGGUGGGGUAAUGACCUACCAAGGCGACGAUCAGUAGCUGGUCUGAGAGGAUGAUCAGCCACAUUGGGACUGAGACACGGCCCAAACUCCUACGGGAGGCAGCAGUGGGGAAUCUUGCGCAAUGGGCGAAAGCCUGACGCAGCCAUGCCGCGUGAAUGAUGAAGGUCUUAGGAUUGUAAAAUUCUUUCACCGGGGACGAUAAUGACGGUACCCGGAGAAGAAGCCCCGGCUAACUUCGUGCCAGCAGCCGCAGUAAAAC